rnacentral:lncRNA from 1 species
UGCCAGGAUAACCUCUCAUAGUCCAAAUGGCCAAAUUAAUAUUAAAUCCAGCUCUUCUUCAGACAUCAAGGAACCUCGCUGUAUCGGAAAACAGAUUUUACAGCUGACUCGACCUUUGUCAAGAAUCUGAAGUACGCCCCGACAUUGGCACCUCCUGCCACCCGCCCCUCACAUCCUCCCACCACCCUAUCCCGUAUCGGGUGGCUGACGCCCUCCUCCUGACUCCUAUGGGGGGAGUGCGGGGCCUCCCUCACAGCCGUCACUGCUCCAAAAGCAAAGAUCAACAGGCCUCCAGGGCGUGUUGGGGCUGUAUCCUCUGUUGAUACACUCAAAGCUCCUGGGGGGGCUGCUGCCCCUCCCCAGGCCCCAACUGCUCUGCAGACCAGCACUGUGGGUAAAUUGCGGCCAGGCCUCCUUGUCACCAAACUGACGGGCAGGGAUGGAGCCUCACUGACAAGGGCUCACGUGGCACCAAGAUAGAGAACGGUGCAGAGUGCUGCCUGGACCUGGAGCCAUUCUCCAGCUGGCCACCUCCACGCCCCAGCCCUUCAGAUGCCCGAGGCCCCUCAGAGGAGUCCCGGCCACGUGAAGUGGCUCUCAGGACCUGGCGCACAGAGAACCUUUCCCGGGACCUGACCCUUCCAGCACCGGGCAGCACAGGAGCUGCAAGGGGGCCAGGAACAGUCCCCAGGGUGACCUUCGCUUGACAAGCAAGACAGGGGGCCCCAGAGAGGCCUCGGGGCUUGUAGGAGAUAAACAUUUGUCUCUCAGAUGAUCAAAAAGGAAGGGUGUGUGAGGUCUCAGGGGGGACAUUUGAACACGCAGGCACCUGCCAUCACGAGGAACACUGGAAGGCUCUAUAAUUUUCCAAGCCUCUGCUGAAAUUCCUCAUCUUUUCAUCCAUUUUGUCCCUCCUUUCCUCUAAGUUACUUGCUGUAUUUAUAACAUUUUGAACGCCUUCUCUUCCCAUUCAAACCCCGGGGCCAUCUAUGGUGUGUUCCAGUGACCAUUCUUUUCUCCUGACUGUGGGUCACAGUUCCUGCUUCUUUGCAGUUGUUAAGUUUUAAGCUGGAUGUUGGGUAUUAAAGAACAGAAGAGACUGGGGAAGCCAAAAGGUCUGCCCACCUCCCAGGAGGGCCCCCUUUCCUGUCAGGCAGCCGGGCUGAGGGCCGGGCCUCUUCACUGAAUCAGAUCUCUAAACAGCCUCAGCUCCCCUCUGGCUUCGAGCAUCCUGAAGGGGAAGCCUGGCCCUACCUCUGGCAGGGCUUUGGGGUUCAAACUCCACACACCAGGUC